rnacentral:rRNA from 1 species
UACGUAGGGUGCAAGCGUUAAUCGGAAUUACUGGGCGUAAAGCGUGCGCAGGCGGUUUUGCAAGCCGGAUGUGAAAUCCCCGGGCUCAACCUGGGAAUGGCAUUCGGGACUGCAAGGCUGGAGUGCGGCAGAGGAGACUGGAAUUCCUAGUGUAGCAGUGAAAUGCGUAGAUAUCAGGAGGAAUACCGAUGGCGAAGGCAGGUCUCUGGGCUGACACUGACGCUCAUGCACGAAAGCGUGGGGAGCAAACAGG